rnacentral:miRNA from 1 species
CAGGGUUGGUACUGAUGGACC